GACGAACGCUGGCGGCGUGCUUAACACAUGCAAGUCGAACGAUGAAGAAAAGAAUUGAAGCUUCGGCAGAAAUUCAUUUCGGAUUAGUGGCAGACGGGUGAGUAACGCGUGAGCAACCUACCUCUUACAAAGGGAUAGCCUCGGGAAACCGGGAUUAAUACCAUAUAACAUUGCGACGAAGCAUUUCGAUGCAAUCAAAGCUACGGCGGUAAGAGAUGGGCUCGCGUCCCAUUAACCAGAUGGUGAGGUAACGGCUCACCAUAGUAACGAUGGGUAACCGGCCUGAGUGGGUGAACGGUCACACUGGAACUGAGACACGGUCCAGACUCCUACGGGAGGCAGCAGUGGGGAAUAUUGCACAAUGGAGGGAACUCUGAUGCAGCGACGCCGCGUGAGUGAUGAAGGAAUUCGUUUCGUAAAACUCUGUUCUAUGGGAAGAAAAGGACUGUACCAUAGGAGAAAGCUCCGGCUAAAUACGUG
rnacentral:rRNA from 1 species